AUUGAACGCUGGCGACAGGCCUAACACAUGCAAGUCGAACGAGUGGCGGACGGGUGAGUAAUGCUUGGGAAUCUAGCUUAUGGAGGGGGAUAACUACGGGAAACGGUAGCUAAUACCGCGUACCACAGGAUGAGCCCAAGUGGGUUUAGGUAGUUGGUGAGGUAAAGGCUCACCAAGCCGACGAUCUCUAGCUGGUCUGAGAGGAUGAACAGCCACCCUGGGACUGAGGCACGGCCCAGACUCCUACGGGAGGCAGCAGUGGGGAAUAUUGCGCAAUGGGGGCAACCUGACGCAGCCAUGCCGCGUGAAUGAAGAAGGCCUUCGGGUUGUAAAGUUCUUUCGGUAGCGAGGCGUUAACUACAGAAGAAGCCCCGGCUAACUCCGUGCCAGCAGCCGCGGUAAUAC
rnacentral:rRNA from 1 species